rnacentral:rRNA from 1 species
CUGCUGCCUCCCGUAGGAGUCUGGUCCGUGUCUCAGUACCAGUGUGGGGGGCCUUCCUCUCAGAACCCCUACGCAUCGUCGCCUCGGUGGGCCGUUACCCCGCCGACUAGCUAAUGCGCCGCAUGCCCAUCCGUGGCCGGGAUUGCUCCCUUUGGCGGCCUUGGGAUGUCCCUAGGCCGCGUUACGCGGUAUUAGACGGGGUUUCCCCCGCUUAUCCCCCUGCCACGGGCAGGUUGCAUACGUGUUACUCACCCGUGCGCCGGUCGCCGGCAACGG